UUUAAAACACGCGCAGCAGGGAGAGGACUGAAAACGCAAAUUACCCAAACCUUCCAAAAUACUGCGCAGCAUUGGAUCAAUUUGAAACAGUAAUAAAAUGUGCUGCCAAAUUUAAAAGAAAUAAAAAACGAUUUAAAAGUACUGUAAAAACAGGGGGCCAAUUACGCAAAUGCCCUAUUUUUAAGAAUGCACUAUAAAAGCCAACUUUUAAACCCUAAAAAAUAGCACUUCUCCAGCCACCCCAAAAAUGUGCCGCAGCUCUUCAUUUGCUCCUCCACCAUUCUAGUCCUCUCCCAUUUCCGACCAUGAAACGACGAAGCGAGGUCGCUUUCCGACGAAUCUCACGACGGUAUGAGCGUGUGGCGUGCGCGGAGUGCUGAACGUGGGACGGUAUGGAGGCUGCCGAACGUGGGGCAUGUGGUGCUGGUAGUUGCUGCUAGGUUUUCUGCUGUUUUAGGCCAAUUUGGCCCUGUAAUUGGGUUUAGCUUGGCACAAGUUUUAUUAGGUUCAAUUGUAUUUAAUUUGGGCUGUGUAAAUGAUUUUGGAUUGGUCUUAUUUUGAAUGGGCCGGGCAAAAAUAGGCUAUUACAAUGAAUUUUUUUGUAUAA